UACGUAGGGAGCAAGCGUUUGUCCGGAAUCAUUGGGCGUAAAGCGCGCGUAGGCGGCCUCGUAAGUCCGUUGUGAAAGUCAAAGGCUCAACCUUUGAAAGCCGAUGGAUACUGUGAGGCUAGAGUCCGGAAGAGGCGAGUGGAAUUCCUGGUGUAGCGGUGGAAUGCGCAGAUAUCAGGAGGAACACCAAUAGCGAAGGCAGCUCGCUGGGACGUUACUGACACUGAGGCGCGAAAGCGUGGGGAGCGAACAGG
rnacentral:rRNA from 1 species